UUUCCCAGUUCGACUAAUGAGAAAGGUCGUACUGGUUACUCCGGUACGCAUCAAUCAGACAAUCACUCUGUCUUUAAUUUUUUUUUAAAAAAUUGGAUUUUUAUAAUGUUUGUUGAGUGAAAAAUUUGUAGGUGUAGCAACGUUCUGCAGGGUGAAGUCACUAUCUUAAUUAGAUGAAGCAAUGUUGCCUAAGGCCGUUGACGUUGUAAGUCACUAUCUUAAUUAGGAUAAUACGAUGGAUGCUUGUGUUGAAUGCUUCUGAUGAAUGGUUGUGAUGUUUUAGUGUUACAUUAAGAUGAAGACUUUGAACCCUAUUACUAUUGAGAUGUGGUUAAGUUAGGACAAACUCUUUGUUUUCUACAGAGAGCUAUGGCACGCUUGUGCUGUUCCUCUCGUGACAGUCCCUUGUUUGUUGCUGGUCUCUUCCUUUUGCUCUGUUCUUGAGUUUUAAUCUUUAUCAUAUAUCAUCAGAAACUGCUACUAGUUUCUCUGUCAUUAGUAUAUGUUUCUCUCUUUUGCUCUUGCAGCGUUCUUAAUUUCUUAUUCAAUGCUCCAUGAAACAAGAUGGUCACUUGUAGGUUGGUUAAUCUCGCCUUGUCAAGCCGGAAGAAGAGAGAGCGGUGACAAGGUGAAGCCGGAAGUGGAGACAACGGUGAAGCUACGGCUGAGGCGGUGAAGCCGAGGAGUACAGACGGAAGUUGGGCUAGUAUCAUUUUCUGGUUUUGAUUGUUUGGUCUCUGAAGUUAUAUCAUUCAUAAGAGUGAUUAGGA
rnacentral:lncRNA from 1 species